ACACUUUUACAAGUUCAGAAGAAAUUAACAUUUCAGAAAACAAAUUAACAUUUCAGAAAACAAAUUAACAUCACUCGAAACACUUUUACAAGUGGCAAAAUCAACCGGAAAGGGUAGGUACUAAUUCCAAGGCUGACCCGGAAGUGAUAACGGAAGCGGGCAUUUCAACCCAAGAUGGACAGCAGUUCAGUGGCGUUUUGCCCGUUUUGCGGGGCACAUAUGAGUAGAUUAACGCGGUUUUGUUUUUCUUGUGGACGGUCCUUAGAGUUUUUAAAUGGGACAGAACAGACGGAAGGUCCAGAGGCACAGGGGAUAUGUCAACAGCCGGAUAAUGCUAAACAAACAGAAAAACCUUGCUCGUCAUAUAAACAGUUCCUGGAAUACCGAAGCUCGAAGUCCAAAGAGCGUCAGUCUUUUAACUACGGGCCUAGAGGAAGACACCGGGCUAAAGAACAAAAACACGUCCAGGUUUUUGAACUCCCAAAGAUAAGUCUGAAAAUGAAAGAGAUGCACUGGGACAUCAAGCUACAAUUCAGCCAGGACAGCUGUUAGGGAGGAUGAAUACUUCCUGGCAGGACAGAUGAUUGCAGUUUCAGUUGUACAUGGAGGUCCGGGACCCCAUUUCCUGUCAGAAGAUCUUGUACAGUAUCUUGCUGGCCAGCCUUCAUUCAAACCAACAGUUAAUUUAAUAACUGAUGAAGAAAUAGGGAAAGCUUUGCGAGAGGUGGGGAUAACAUAAAUCCAGUGUGGUAGGACAGAGUUUAACAUAGUUCCUGCACUGUUCAAUGAUGAUGUUUAGUUCCCACACAUAUACAUUUGCAGAAUUAUGAAUUUAUGGUAUUGUAGGGUUACAGCAUGCUAUAUAUGUCACUAAAUAAAAAUGGUCAAGAUUAACACAUAGUUAUUUAAUGUGUUGGGUAUGUCUCUUUGUCUUUCAGAUUGAGAAUGCUGCUACAUUGGAUGCUCUACAAGAAUGUAUCAUGAGACACAGCACAAUGUUGCAGACAGCAGGCUGUCUUAGACAUGUGGCUGCUGUGGACGAAAAGACAGAAAUUGUGGCCAACUACCUCCAGUGGUAUAUUUUUGACCGCAACUCAUCUGUAAUUGACAGAUUCAAAGAUGGUCUUUCAGCUCUUCAGUUCCUGACUGCUCUACAGCAACACCCUACUUUGCUGACCCCUGUCCUGUGCCACUGUGAAAAGCGACUGACUGCCUUUGAGCUUGAGAGACUCUUCAAACCUCAACUCAGCCCUUCAGGGAGUAAUAGGAGACUGAAAGAAAGCCAAACCUUGGCCUGCUGGGCAGACUAUCUCCUUGAUUGUGAAGAAGGCGAGGCUGCUGUGUCUGUGGAAGACAUUUUGAUGUUUGCAACUGGGCUGACAUCACUUCCCCCAUCUGGCUUGGAACCACUGCCACAAAUAGAGUUCCUGGAUGACGUUCCACUCCCAAUGGCAAAUACAUGUUCAAACUUGUUGAAAUUACCAUUUCUGGAUUCAUAUAGUGUGUUUAAGUCACAAAUGGACUUUGGAAUUCAAAAUAGUCCAGGAUUUGGUUGUCUAUAAACUAUAUAGCUAGAUAACCAUUAGAGUAGUGUUUUUCAAACCUGGUCAUCCAGGCACAAUGCCCUGCACGUUUUAGAUCAGAGAUCCUAAUCCUGAAUAACUGAUUAACAGGCUUUUUUUUUUUUUUAAACUGCAAUCAUCUGAAUCAGGUAUGUUAAAGCAGGAAAACUUGGACUCAAAAUGUUUUUUGUUCUUUGUUGGUAUUAUGUGCAUUUAAAGGUGCAGUUACUUUUGUUAAAAUACUUUAAAAUUGCGGUAAGCAAGCAUGUCUUUUUUUUUUUUUCCCCUCAGACAGCAUUUGGACAAUUGUUUUUCAUUCAUUUAUUUCCAAAUUUUAAAUACUGAAACUGUGGGUGACAAGUUGUGUACAUGUUCCACCAU